UACGUAGGGUCCGAGCGUUGUCCGGAAUUAUUGGGCGUAAAGAGCUCGUAGGUGGUUUGUUACGUCCGCUGUGAAAUCCUAGGGCUUAACCCUGGGCUUGCAGUGGAUACGGGCAGACUAGAGGUAGGUAGGGGAGAAUGGAAUUCCUGGUGUAGCGGUGAAAUGCGCAGAUAUCAGGAAGAACACCCGUGGCGAAGGCGGCUCUCUGGGACGGUACUGACGCUGAGACGCGAAAGCGUGGGGAGCGAACAGG
rnacentral:rRNA from 1 species